AGUGAACGCUGGCGGUAGGCCUAACACAUGCAAGUCGAACGGCAGCACAGUAAGAGCUUGCUCUUACGGGUGGCGAGUGGCGGACGGGUGAGGAAUACAUCGGAAUCUUCUUUUUCGUGGGGGAUAACGUAGGGAAACUUACGCUAAUACCGCAUACGCCCUACGGGUGAAAGCAGGGGAUCUUCGGACCUUGCGCGAUUGAAUGAGCCGAUGUCGGAUUAGCUAGUUGGCUGGGUAAAGGCCCACCAAGGCGACGAUCCGUAGCUGGUCUGAGAGGAUGAUCGGCCACACUGGAAGUGAGACACGGUCCAGACUCCUACGGGAGGCAGCAGUGGGGAAUAUUGGACAAUGGGCGCAAGCCUGAUCCAGCCAUACCGCGUGGGAGAAGAAGGCCUUCGGGUUGUAAAGCCCUUUUGUUGGGAAAGAAAAGCAGCAGGUUAAGACCCCGCUGUUCUGACGGUACCCAAAGAAUAAGCACCGGCUAACUACGUG
rnacentral:rRNA from 1 species